rnacentral:rRNA from 1 species
AACGAACGCUGGCGGCGCGCUUAACACAUGCAAGUCGAACGAGAAGGCGUAGCAAUACGCUUGUACAGUGGCGAACGGGUGAGUAAUACGUGGGCGACCUACCCUCGAGUGGGGAAUAACCCGCCGAAAGGCGGGCUAAUGCCGCGUACGCUUCCAUCUUUAUGGAGGUGGAAGGAAAGCCGUGCUGUGGGCACGGCGCUCAAGGAUGGGCUCACGUCCUACCAGCUUGUUGGAGGGUAACGGCCUACCAAGGCUCCGACGGGUAGCUGGUCUGAGAGGACGAUCAGCCACACUGGCACUGCGACACGGGCCAGACUCCUACGGGAGGCAGCAGUGGGGAAUAUUGCGCAAUGGGCGAAAGCCUGACGCAGCGACGCCGCGUGGGUGAUGAAGGCCUC